GGAAACACCAGCCCUUUGAUGAUAGAAACCAUGAGAUCAGAUGGGAGUACCCAAAGAGAGAGUGUAGUUACAAAAGCAAAGAUCCUGGACCCAUCCCUGAGGAAUACAGUGCUUAAGGGAGAGAAAUGGUGAAAAAGACAUAAAGAUGAAGGAGGAAUAAGGGGACAGUCAAACCUUUCAUGUGCUCUGUGAGCAUAUGUGGAUAUUUAUCAAGGUAUUAUAGGUUUUGUCACUUCCCUAUCUAGAAUUCAUUAAGUCAGAAUAAAAUGCAAAUUCUUUACCAUAGUCUCUAAUACCCUAUAUAAUCUGCUGCUACUCCUAGCCAAAUUCAUCUUAUACUGCCUUCACCUUUCUCAUUGCACACCGGUCACCCACACCAAAGCUGGAUGAAUGAAUGAAGUGUUGGAUGGUAUUCCAGGUGGCUUCUCAGGCAACAGGAAACCGAGCAGCGCAGGGGCAAAGAGCUUGAGUUCAGGUGCCAUACAAACCUGACUCUUCAGCCCCUGGCAGUGCUGCUUAUAAGCUCUGAGACUUUGGGGAGGUAACAAAUCCUCAGUGAAACUUUCCUCAUCUCUGAAGUGGAGAUGAUGUAUCUAUAUUACAAAAUGUUUCUUAAGGUAAAGUUGAGAAUUAAUGCAGAUUGCUUAGCACAGUGCCUGGCACAUUUUAAACAGGCGUCAGUGGCAUUACCAUCUUCAUUGGUACUGCCGUCAUAGCUUCACUAGCCCUCCUUGUUAACAGAGGAGGAAGCAGGCCUGGCUAGAGUCAUUCAUGGAGCGGGUGGAGGAGGGGUGAUCGGCGCCCAGGCUUCAGGCUUGGAGUGUAGGCCCCUGCACUGAGCUGGAGCUGAGCAGACUUGUUCACGGUUUGGGUCCAUCCAUUACCAAAUUGGAGCUCGCUCGUUCCUUAG
rnacentral:lncRNA from 1 species